rnacentral:rRNA from 1 species
CCUACGGGUGGCAGCAGUGAGGAAUAUUGGUCAAUGGACGGAAGUCUGAACCAGCCAUGCCGCGUGCAGGAAGACGGCUCUAUGAGUUGUAAACUGCUGUUGUACAAGGGUAAACCGGAAGACGUGUAUGCAGCUGAAAGUACGGUACGAAUAAGGAUCGGCUAACUCCGUGCCAGCAGCCGCGGUAAUACGGAGGAUCCAAGCGUUAUCCGGAGUUAUUGGGUUGAAAGGGUGCGUAGGCGGAUUGAUAAGUUAGAGGGGAAAUGUCCGCGCUUAACUCGGGAACUGCCUCUAAUACUGUUGAUCUAGAGCGUAGAUGCGGUAGGCGGCCUGUCUGGUGUAGCGGU